rnacentral:rRNA from 1 species
UACAGAGGGUGCGAGCGUUAAUCGGAAUUACUGGGCGUAAAGCGUGCGUAGACGGCUAUCUAAGCCGGGUGUGAAAGCCCCGGGCUCAACCUGGGAAUUGCAUUCGAGACUGAAUAGCUAGGGUACGGUAGAGGGAAGUGGAAUUUCCGGUGUAGCGGUGAAAUGCGUAGAUAUCGGAAGGAACAUCAGUGGCGAAAGCGACUUCCUGGACCAGUACCGACGUUCAGGCACGAAAGCGUGGGGAGCAAACAGG